rnacentral:rRNA from 1 species
AUUGAACGCUGGCGGCAGGCCUAACACAUGCAAGUCGAGGGGAAACGAUAUUGGAAGCUUGCUUCCGAUAGGCGUCGACCGGCGCACGGGUGAGUAACGCGUAUCCAACCUGCCCACCACUUGGGGAUAACCUUGCGAAAGUAAGACUAAUACCCAAUGACGUCCAUAGAAGACAUCUGAAAUGGAUUAAAGAUUUAUCGGUGAUGGAUGGGGAUGCGUCUGAUUAGCUUGUUGGCGGGGUAACGGCCCACCAAGGCGACGAUCAGUAGGGGUUCUGAGAGGAAGGUCCCCCACAUUGGAACUGAGACACGGUCCAAACUCCUACGGGAGGCAGCAGUGAGGAAUAUUGGUCAAUGGGCGAGAGCCUGAACCAGCCAAGUAGCGUGCAGGAUGACGGCCCUAUGGGUUGUAAACUGCUUUUAUAAGGGAAUAAAGUGAGCCUCGUGAGGCUUUUUGCAUGUACCUUAUGAAUAAGGACCGGCUAAUUCCGUGCCAGCCGCCGCGGUAACAC